rnacentral:rRNA from 1 species
GAUGAACGCUGGCGGCGUGCCUAAUACAUGCAAGUCGAGCGAACAGAUAAGGAGCUUGCUCCUUUGACGUUAGCGGCGGACGGGUGAGUAACACGUGGAUAACCUACCUAUAAGACUGGGAUAACUUCGGGAAACCGGAGCUAAUACCGGAUAACAUAUUGAACCGCAUGGUUCAAUAGUGAAAGGCGGCUUUGCUGUCACUUAUAGAUGGAUCCGCGCCGUAUUAGCUAGUUGGUAAGGUAACGGCUUACCAAGGCAACGAUACGUAGCCGACCUGAGAGGGUGAUCGGCCACACUGGAACUGAGACACGGUCCAGACUCCUACGGGAGGCAGCAGUAGGGAAUCUUCCGCAAUGGGCGAAAGCCUGACGGAGCAACGCCGCGUGAGUGAUGAAGGUCUUCGGAUCGUAAAACUCUGUUAUCAGGGAAGAACAAAUGUGUAAGUAACGGUGCACAUCUUGACGGUACCUGAGCAGAAAGCCACGGCUAACUACGUGC